AUCUAAAGCUAAAUAUGGGCCGGAGACCGAUAGCGCACAAGUAGAGUGAUCGAAAGAUGAAAAGCACUUUGGAAAGAGAGUUAAACAGCACGUGAAAUUGUUGAAAGGGAAGCGCUUGCGACCAGACUCGCCCGGGGGGGCUCAGCCGGCACUCGUGCCGGUGCACUCCCCCCCGGGCGGGCCAGCGUCGGUUUGGGCGGCCGGUCAAAGGCCCCCGGAAUGUGUCGCCCUCCGGGGCGUCUUAUAGCCGGGGGUGCAAUGCGGCCAGCCCAGACCGAGGAACGCGCUUCGGCUCGGACGCUGGCGUAAUGGUCGUAAGCGGCCCGUCUUGAAACAC
rnacentral:rRNA from 1 species